rnacentral:rRNA from 1 species
CCUACGGGGGGCAGCAGUAGGGAAUUUUCGGCAAUGGGGGGAACCCUGACCGAGCAACGCCGCGUGAACGAAGAAGUUAUUCGUAAUGUAAAGUUCUUUUAACAGGGAAGAAAGAGAAAUUUGACGGUACCUGAAGAAUAAGCUUCGGCUAACUACGUGCCAGCAGCCGCGGUAAUACGUAGGGAGCGAGCGUUAUCCGGAAGUAUUGGGCGAAAAGGGUGCGUAGAUGGCAUAGUAAGUCUUUUGUAAAAAUGCUGGGCUCAACCCAGGAGGGCAAAAGAUACUGCAAAGCUAGAGUAUGACAGAGGCAAGUGGAACUACAUGUGUAGCGGGAAAAUGCGUAAAUAUAUGUAAGAACACCAGUGGCGAAGGCGGCUUGCUGGGUCGAUACUGACAUUGAGGCACGAAAGCGUGGGGAGCAAACAGGAUUAGAUACCCUGGUAGUC